GGGAAUCUGCCCUUCGGUUGGGAAUAACUGAGAGAAAUUUCAGCUAAUACCUUAUAAUGUCUUCGGACCAAAGAUUUAUCGCCGAGGGAUGAGCCCGCGUAGGAUUAGCUAGUUGGUGGGGUAAUGGCCUACCAAGGCGACGAUCCUUAGCUGGUCUGAGAGGAUGAUCAGCCACACUGGGACUGAGACACGGCCCAGACUCCUACGGGAGGCAGCAGUGGGGAAUAUUGGACAAUGGGCGAAAGCCUGAUCCAGCAAUGCCGCGUGAGUGAUGAAGGCCUUAGGGUUGUAAAGCUCUUUUACCAGGGAUGAUAAUGACAGUACCUGGAGAAUAAGCUCCGGCUAACUCCGUGCCAGCAGCCGCGGUAAUACGGAGGGAGCUAGCGUUGUUCGGAAUUACUGGGCGUAAAGCGCGCGUAGGCGGUUUCUCAAGUCAGAGGUGAAAGCCCGGGGCUCAACCCCGGAACUGCCUUUGAAACUAGGAGACUAGAAUCUUGGAGAGGUCAGUGGAAUUCCGAGU
rnacentral:rRNA from 1 species